GAUGAACGCUAGCUACAGGCUUAACACAUGCAAGUCGAGGGGAAACGAUAGAGAAAGCUUGCUUUUUCUAGGCGUCGACCGGCGCACGGGUGAGUAACGCGUAUCCAACCUGCCCAUCACUUGGGGAUAACCUUGCGAAAGUAAGACUAAUACCCAAUGACGUCUCUAGAAGACAUCUGAAGGAGAUUAAAGAUUUAUCGGUGAUGGAUGGGGAUGCGUCUGAUUAGCUUGUUGGCGGGGUAACGGCCCACCAAGGCGACGAUCAGUAGGGGUUCUGAGAGGAAGGCCCCCCCACAUUGGAACUGAGACACGGUCCAAACUCCUACGGGAGGCAGCAGUGAGGAAUAUUGGGUCAAUGGACGAGAGUCUGAACCAGCCAAGUAGCGUGCAGGAUGACGGCCCUAUGGGUUGUUAAAACUUCUUUUAUACGGGAAUAAAGUUAGCACGUGUGGCUAAC
rnacentral:rRNA from 1 species